AACAUUUGCCUGCAGACCAAAUGCUUCAGAGAAUCUGUGGAAAGCCUCCUUUAAGAUUAUAAUAGAGAUAAGAUCAGCUCUACAGAGCAUUAAUAGGUCAUCAGCAAAGCAUACAUGAAUACUGUUAAUCUUCCUGCAUUUAGGAUGAAAAUUGAAAUCACCAUUCCUGUGUAGCUGCCCCAGUUCCCUAUUUAAAUACUCAAUAGCAAUCACAAAUAGAUAAGGUGACAUAGGGUCAUCAUGCCUAAUACCCCUC
rnacentral:lncRNA from 1 species